rnacentral:rRNA from 1 species
GCGGCGUACGGGUGCGGAACACGUGUAGCAACCUCCUUUAAUCUGGAGGAUAGCCUUUCGAAAGGAAGAUUAAUACUCCAUAAUAUAUUGAUUGGCAUCGAUUGAUAUUGAAAGCUCCGGCGGAUAGAGAUGGGGCACGCGCAAGAUUAGCUAAGUUGGUGAGGUAACGGCUCACCAAGGCGAUGAUCUUUAGGGGGCCUGAGAGGGUGAUCCCCCCACACUGGUACUGAGACACGGACCAGACUCCUACGGGAGGCAGCAGUGAGGAAUAUUGGUCAAUGGGUGCAAGCCUGAACCAGCCAUCCCGCGUGAAGGACGACUGCCCUAUGGGUUGUAAACUUCUUUUGUAUAGGGAUAAACCUACCCUCGUGAGGGUAGCUGAAGGUACUAUACGAAUAAGCACCGGCUAACUCCGUG